CACUUACCAUGGGUCCUGUGCUGUGCCUGUAUUGUCUUCUUUAAUCCUCGAACAUUCACAUUUCAGAGACCUACCACCAUAUACCAGGCACCAUUCAAAAAACUGUACAUAAGUUGACUUAUUCAGUUGCCUUAUGAGUUGAGCUCUUAUUAUGGUCCAUUUUACAGUUGAGGAGACUGAGGUUCAGAGAGACUGGAUAAUCUGCUCCGAGCCUCACAAGCCACCGAGUGCCAUAGCUAACACUAGGACCAAUUUAUGGCCUCCGUAUUGCUUCCAUGGUGACUGUUCGGGGUCUACGGGAAAUCCAAGGUAAUAGGUCUAGUGGGUCACUGGGGUUCCAAAAUUGAAGCUUGGGCAAGAAAUAUGAGUUGCGAAUACAGACUUGGCAAUUACUCGGCCUAUAGGUGGUGUUUAAAGCCACAGAAGUGAAUCGCUGUGCAGGUUGAAAAGAGAAAAGGGCCACCAGCCAAACUCCGAGAAACCCCAAUGUUGACAGGCCCGUGGAAAUAGAGCCCGUCUGCUGUGGUUGGAAAAUGUGAAGAGAUGGAAGCCGAGGGAGGGCAGCCUUUCCAGGGGGCUGUGUCCAAAAGUAAGGAGAGGAGAAGGUCCUCAAGGUGUGGCAGGAUGAGCGACUGCGGUUAGGAGAAAUUUGGCAAUGGCUAAGUCUUACUUAAAGCCCAAAGCUGGGAAUCCACUCAGCCUACUUUGAACAGAUGAGACGCAAUCACCAGCGACCGGACGAGAACCCCCACGGAUGCCUCCACGAUGACUUGGAUGCGGAUGUUGAAGCAUUUACCGAUGGCAACGCACCUGGGACAUCCUGCCGGAACGCUGGGCUGCGAAGAUGGGUCAGGAUUCAUCUCUGACCACGUAGGGAGGCGACGACCGUCUCCGUGUUCGGUGCUGGAGGGCUGCAGGGGGCCCAGGUGGGGUCAGAGGAGUCCUGUGCAGUACAGGAGUGAGCGUGGAAGGCAGGCUUUCUGGGAGGUGCUGGAGCUUGAGUUGAAUCACCAGAAGUGUCCCUGUUUGAACCUGUUUUUAAGACUGAAUUUAUGUCAAAUGAAAGCCGAAUGCUGACAAUAAAACCGGCAGCAGCAAGCGUUUACUGAGCA
rnacentral:lncRNA from 1 species